rnacentral:rRNA from 1 species
AGAGGAAGUAAAAGUCGUAACAAGGUUUCCGUAGGUGAACCUGCGGAAGGAUCAUUAUUGAAAUAAACCUGAUGGGUUGUUGCUGGCUCUCUAGGGAGCAUGUGCACACCUUGUCAUCUUUAUAUCUCCACCUGUGCACCUUUUGUAGACAUCUUUCCAGGUGUCUAUGUUGAUUCUUCAUUUACCCCAAUGUAUGUCAAUAGAAUGUUGUGUCCAUAAUAUAUACAACUUUCAGCAACGGAUCUCUUGGCUCUCGCAUCGAUGAAGAACGCAGCGAAAUGCGAUAAGUAAUGUGAAUUGCAGAAUUCAGUGAAUCAUCGAAUCUUUGAACGCACCUUGCGCUCCUUGGUAUUCCGAGGAGCAUGCCUGUUUGAGUGUCAUUAAUAUUAUAUAUCAAACCCUCUUUUGUUGAGUGGUUUGGAUGUGGGGUUGCUGGCCUCUUGAAGGGGUCAGCUUUCCUGAAAUGCAUUAGCAGAACAGCCUGUUCGUUCCAUUGGUGUGAUAACUAUCUACGCUAUUGAAUGAUGAAGGCAAGUUCAGCUUUCUAACCGUCUUUGGACAAUUUAUCAUCUAUAUGUGACCUCAAAUCAGGUAGGACUACCCGCUGAACUUAAGCAUAUCAAUAAGCGGAGGAAAAGAAACUAACAAGGAUU